CGAGAAUUAGAGGGUUUCUGCAGUGAGGUUUAGUAAGAUUAGUAAGUGGCUGCAACAUUUUAAUAGGUGUGUUAGAUGGAACUUGUAUGGAUGUCCACUAGAACUGAGCAUUCAAUUCCAGGUGAACUACUAUUUGUCCGAUUUUAGGUGAUGGGCUCUUCCAGACAAAUUCUGUAUCUCUGAAGCGCAGCAUACCUGAGCAACCAUCUAGCUCAAUGGCCGAACAUGUUCACUUGAUUCAGUAUUUAGAGUUCUCCUGGGGCUCCAAACAAAGAUGAUUCAUGGAAUAAAUAUGAUUAAUAGCUAGGGGAGAGUCGCUAAAUGUUAGUUUAGGGAAAAAAGGAAGACCAG